UACGGGGGGGGGCAAGCGUUGUUCGGAAUUACUGGGCGUAAAGGGCUCGUAGGCGGCCAACUAAGUCAGACGUGAAAUCCCCAGGCUUAACCUGGGAACUGCGUCGGAUACUGGAUGGCUUGAAUCCGGGAGAGGGAUGCGGAAUUCCAGGUGUAGCGGUGAAAUGCGUAGAUAUCCGGAGGAACACCGGUGGCGAAGGCGGCUCACUGGACCAUUACUGACGCUGAGGCUCGAAAGCUAGGGGAGCAAACAGG
rnacentral:rRNA from 1 species